rnacentral:rRNA from 1 species
GAUGAACGCUGGCGGCGUGCCUAAUACAUGCAAGUCGAGCGAACAGACGAGGAGCUUGCUCCUCUGACGUUAGCGGCGGACGGGGGAGUAACACGUGGAUAACCUACCUAUAAGACUGGGAUAACUUCGGGAAACCGGAGCUAAUACCGGAUAAUAUAUUGAACCGCAUGGUUCAAUAGUGAAAGACGGCUUUGCUGUCACUUAUAGAUGGAUCCGCGCCGCAUUAGCUAGUUGGUAAGGUAACGGCUUACCAAGGCAACGAUGCGUAGCCGACCUGAGAGGAUGAUCGGCCACACUGGAACUGAGACACGGUCCAGACUCCUACGGGAGGCAGCAGUGGGGAAUAUUACGCAAUGGGCGAAAGCUUGACGCAGCCAUGCCGCGUGAGUGAUGAAGGCCUUCGGAUCGUAAAACUCUGUUAUUAGGGAAGAACAAAUGUGUACGUAACUAUGCACGUCUUGACGGUACCUAAUCAGAAAGCCACGGCUAACUACGUG